ACAUACGACCAUAGACUCAAGAGAAUAGUAGUUGGGUGGGUGACCACCAGCGAAUACCCACUGUUGUAUGUU
rnacentral:rRNA from 1 species